rnacentral:SRP_RNA from 1 species
GCCGGGCACGGUGGCGCGUGCCUGUAGCCCCAGCUACUCAGGAGGCUGAGGUGGGAAGAUGGCUUGAGCCCAAGAGUUCUGGGCUGUAGUGCGCUAUGCCGAUCGGGUGUCCGUACUAAGUUCAGCAUCAAUAUGGUGACCUCCCGGGAGCGGGGGACCACCAGGUCACCUAAGGAGGGGUGAACCGGCCCAGGUUGGAAACGGAGCCAGUCAAAACUCCCGUGCUGAUCAGUAGUGGGAUCACACCUGUGAAUAGCCACUGUACUCCAGCCUGGGCAACAGAGUGAGACUCCAUCUCU